ACACAUGCAAGUCGAACGAGAAUCUACUGAAAGAGUUUUCGGACGAUGGAAGUAGAGGAAAGUGGCGGACGGGUGAGUAACGCGUGAGGAACCUGCCUUGAAGAGGGGGACAACAGUUGGAAACGACUGCUAAUACCGCAUGAAGCAUAGGGGUCGCAUGAUUCUUAUGCCAAAGAUUUAUCGCUUCAAGAUGGCCUCGCGUCUGAUUAGCUAGUUGGCGGGGUAACGGCCCACCAAGGCGACGAUCAGUAGCCGGACUGAGAGGUUGAACGGCCACAUUGGGACUGAGAUACGGCCCAGACUCCUACGGGAGGCAGCAGUGAGGAAUAUUGGGCAAUGGGCGCAAGCCUGACCCAGCAACGCCGCGUGAAGGAAGAAGGCUUUCGGGUUGUAAACUUCUUUUGUCAGGGACGAGUAGAAGACGGUACCUGACGAAUAAGCCACGGCUAACUACGUGCCAGCAGCCGCGGUAAUACGUAGGUGGCAAGCGUUGUCCGGAUUUACUGGGUGUAAAGGGCGUGUAGCCGGGAGGGCAAGUCAGAUGUGAAAUCCACGGGCUCAACUCGUGAACUGCAUUUGAAACUACUCUUCUUGAGUAUCGGAGAGGCAAUCGGAAUUCCUAGUGUAGCGGUGAAAUGCGUAGAUAUUAGGAGGAACACCAGUGGCGAAGGCGGAUUGCUGGACGACAACUGACGGUGAGGCGCGAAAGCGUGGGG
rnacentral:rRNA from 1 species